AGCAGGAGGAGGAGGAGGAGGAGGAGGGCCACCCUGAGGGGAUGAAGGGCUGAGGGGAGCGCCUGCGAGGCGUGAGGGGCGGCAGGGAGCGGCGCGCAGGUGGCUGGGGAAGUGGCCGCGGUCAGCGCCGCGCCCGGCGGCUGUGAGGGGGAAGCCGGGUGAGGUGUCAAGAAACAAGGGGGAAAGUGCUGGUUUAAGCAACGCGCAGGAGCUUUUUCGGCUCCUAAAGAGCCAAAAAGCGUUAAAGGGAGGUGUGGAAAGCGGCAGCGAUGCAGGGAGGGGGGGCUGCGCCCCGCCUCGCGGGUUUGGUGGGGAUUUUGUGGAAAUGUAGCGGGGUUUCACAGCUGCUGAACUGUUUCUAACCUCUACAGACAUUACGCUAUCCUAAUAACUUCCUUGACGUUACGCUAUCAUCUAGUUCUUUCUCAAUUUUCCCGUCUUCCAACAAUUGACAGAAUUCUCACUGCUCCUGCCUGACCACAAAGCGGCAGAGGAUGACUUCUGGCCCCUUACCCCCUCACAGUUUUGAUCACAGCUUCCAAAACUAAAACUUCUGUGCUGCUUUUCCUUGAAGCCCCAUGAUAUUAGAAGUGAAUUAUCACAUACAUCACAAAGUACUUGCGAUCAGGAUGAGCAGAUGAUCUCACAAGAUCCCUCUUAGCCUACCUUUCCAGGAAAACAGAAGCUGAUUCAAAAUGAGAAGUUUUUUAGAAAUAAGUGGACGUAAAAAAAUUUCAUCACCUGCUGCCUACUGAAGAGCAUUGUUAUCAAGUGGCUUCCGAGCUUACAGAAAGAACAUGUGGUAACCACAUGAUCCACAGAAAAUAAAAGAGCUGGACACAAGGAAGGGGUGGCAAGAGUCAGAAGGUAUGGACGAAAGUCAGGCAAAACAUCUGCAAGAUGUUGCCUGUUUCCAGCCUAAGUAUUUUUCAGGACAGGGUUAAUAUAUAUCCAAAACCACUAUCCAAAGCAAAAUGAUAACGGUGGCCUUUUCAUGAAGGAUAUUAGAAAGCACUCUGUUUCAAAAAGAUAUUAAUAAUUGCAAUUCCAAAUAAAUGUUGAAGAGAAACAGAAAGGUAUUGUCACCGAUGGAUUGCAUUUCAUCUUUUUGUAAUCACUGAUAUUAAAUGAAACAGAUCUUUUGCACUUUGUGGACAGUGCAAUUUAUGCCAUGGGGAAAGUGAUGGCAAAUAUUAGCAAAGGAAAGAUUUUUAGAGCCUGCUUCCCUUGCAAUAGAUUAAGAGGUUACCCUAAAUUUCCAUGGGACUAGUGUCAGGCAAGAGUGCCAGAAGAUAAAUAGAGCUCAUAAAGCAAAGAAGAUUAAAUAAUGUAAAAUCUAUUAUUGAGGGAAUUCCAAAUACGGAAAAAGGAAUUAUUCAUUUUCCUGGCCACUGGAAAGAAUAUAAACAAGCUCAGAUUGUAACUGCGUUUCCUUUGAGAACAUUAUGGAGCACGACAGGCGUUGCACAAGGGUAUUAUUCAGGCUUACUGUAUCUCUACGCAGUAUGAGCUGACUGAUGACUGCACACACGGAUCAGCUGAGUCUGUAACACUGCUGAGCAAGACAGAUGGGAAAAUGACAUUGAGAAGGCAACACUCGUGCUGCAUAACAAAUCCGAACUUCUCCUUCCAAAACAUGCUGAACAUUCCUAGGAGUAAAACAAAACAUCAAAAAACAAGCAGAGACCUGAAGCCGGUUUCACAUGUGUCAUCCCACAGCCAUGUGCACAUGGGUGUGAAGAGGAGAUCCUUUUGUAAGAAAAGGGAUGAAAUAGAAGAUGGACAUCUCUAACUGACCAUCUAAGAGUAAGAGCUUAGAGUUUGAAAUCCAACUAUUGAAUUUUCUCAAGUUUCCUCACUGACUAUGCACUUUCCUCCUGCUCCUUUCCCCAGAAUUAGAGACCUCUCUUUUCUCUUCUUGGUCAAAGCUUUUUUCCCAGCUUCAAGCCCUCCACCCUGUGUAAUAGCUCCUGGCUGGCAUUACCCUUUUCCAGGACCUCUGGCAGCUGCCAUUACCGUAUUUGCCUUUUUGCAAUCUUCAUUCUGACUUGUUUUCUAAAGAAACUAAACGUCACUGAAUUCAAUACCCAGGCUCCUUCCUGAAGUUUGUUUCUCAUCUGCGCUGUAAGACUCGAGACCCCUCCCUGGAGUCCCCUCAAUAACAAACCUCACACAAAUCUCCAGACAAAAUUCAGUUUUAGUGUCUUCUGCCCAAUCUUUCCAGAAAUGUUCUUUUCUCAGCAGGCUCAUAACUCACCGAGGUCUCAGCCCUCCUUCUAAAUGAGUUUUGCCUGGCAGAGAAUCUCUUCUCGCUGAGAUCUCCCAGUUCAUGAUUUUUCUCACACUGUAAAUACUCCAUCGCAGAUUUCCCAAUACCCUACUUCUUUUCUGUUUCUUCCAUCUUUCUGUUACAAGCCUAGCAACCAUGACUUUUUGCCAAUCCUCUGCACCCAUUUUUUUUUUUCCUCUUCUAUGCUGGACUCUGGUCCUUCUGUGAUUUUCCAGUUCUCUGCUACGCAGCUAGAUCCCCUUCACCCCGGGCUUUGAUGGUUUGGAACAGCAAUUGGUCAGUUUCUAAAGGCAAUGUGAUAAAGCAUCUCUGUGUGAGCAUGACAGAGCCAGUAGCUAUAGUAACAGAAAAGCAUACUUUAAACACAAAUGAACCAGAAAUAAAAUCCAGGAGAGGUCUCCCAUCUUCCCCCUAUCCCCAAAUAUUGCAGGGUUCCCUAAAUCAACUCCUACGUAUCUUUCCUUAACCAUAUCUCCUCCCUAGCCCAAAACAGGGUGAGACAGAAAUAAAACUUUUCUCCCCCCUAGUUUAAGGGCAAUGGCCUCACCAGGGAGUCCCAGGAGGAGGCUGGGAGGUUAACCUGGGUUUGGGAGAGGACGUUUUCCACAGCACAGUGGUGCUGCUCUGUCUGGAGACAUCUGUUUGCAUCCCAAAGUAGGAAGGCUGCCUGCUGAUGCUGGUGACACAGCACAGUUUCAGAGAAUUCAAAAAUUUUAAAUAGAAAUCGCUUAAAACAGAAAAAGUUUUAAACCAGAAAAGCUUUCUGUGAGUUUUUGAGAAGAGCUCCUGAACCUCCACCAAUCAAGGUAUUAAAGAAAAGGUGCUUUUUUCAGCACUCAUACCUUCUCCACUCCUCUAGAGCCUGUGUAGGUGGCCUUCCGCAGAAAGGACCAAAAUAGACCUGGUGCCUCAGUGCUUUACAGGUCAGCAGGCUGCAAAACGCUGUUCAGUAAUUUACUGCAUUUGUACAUGUCACACCUUUCCAUUCUCUCUUUUUAAAAUAUACCUGUGGAAAGAGAUAAGCAAUGCAGGCUCAAUUCGAACAAAAAAAGACGUUUAGUGAACUCCAUAUUUUACACAAAUUACAAGUAAUGAAACGGUUUUUUAUUUACUGCAGUGUCACCUUUCAACAAAUUAUUCAUUUUUAUUUGAUAUUCCCUUUCUGAGGGACUAAGAUUGUUCCAUACAUCUAUGAAAUACACAUAAAUGUGCUCGUACAUGUAUUUUCAAUAAAACCCACCCGAAAUAGAUUUCCUUUUAAUCACUGAAGUAAGUUACCAUGCAAUUAAGGAGAAAGAAUUAGGUGUUUCAGCAAGUUACAUCCUAACAACUGGAAUAUUGUUAUACCUGAAUCAGUUUUAUACUUUGACAUCUUCCCAUUGUUAUCGAAUAAUAGCUAAAAACCUCUCUGGCUGUUACAAGACACCGUUAUAAAUAACCUCUAUUAUUUAGAUAUCUGACGGAUGUAAUCUCUACAAAUGAUGAAUUAUAUCCCACUUCUUAAUUACACAGUCCCCUGAAAUCUAAUUUAAAUAGUAGCUAAGCAGAUUAAAUACAAAAAAAAAAAAAAAAAAAAAAAAGCAGUUCACAAAAUGAUAAAUUUAGGUUUUUGGCUCAGCUCUGUAAUUUUUCCACAGAUGAUUUUGUAAAGUAUCAUCUUCUGCGGCAUCUUCUCAGGUCAGCGUAAUCUGGAUUUACAUAUUGAUUCAUUCAGUUUCUAUGUCAAUCAUAACAAAAAAUUUAAUAAAAAGAACAACUCUAAUUGUUCUUCAGAGAUUUAGCAAUAAUUACUCCCCUGUCAUCUCAGUCAAGCUGAUGUCUUUCACACGUUCUGUUUUUCAAGCAUAACCACUGUACGCUUCUUUUGGGCACUGCAUACUUUGCAAAUGAGUAUUUCAUUCACUGAGACGUUGAUGGCUGCCUUAACAACAUACCACACAGGGGUUACACUUGAUAAAAUUGGAACUGUAUUCUGUCAACAAUAAUUACGUGGGUGUUUUGCUCCUUUCCUGCCAUAGCUGUCCCAUGGCAACAGUGUAAAAGCAGCACUCUUCUUAAAUACAUAAAUGAGUCCUCACA